ACGCUGGCGGCAGGCCUAACACAUGCAAGUCGAGCGGUAGAGAGAAGCUUGCUUCUCUUGAGAGCGGCGGACGGGUGAGUAAUGCCUAGGAAUCUGCCUGGUAGUGGGGGAUAACGUUCGGAAACGGACGCUAAUACCACAUACGUCCUACGGGAGAAAGCAGGGGACCUUCGGGCCUUGCGCUAUCAGAUGAGCCUAGGUCGGAUUAGCUAGUUGGUGGGGUAAUGGCUCACCAAGGCGACGAUCCGUAACUGGUCUGAGAGGAUGAUCAGUCACACUGGAACUGAGACACGGUCCAGACUCCUACGGGAGGCAGCAGUGGGGAAUAUUGGACAAUGGGCGAAAGCCUGAUCCAGCCAUGCCGCGUGUGUGAAGAAGGUCUUCGGAUUGUAAAGCACUUUAAGUUGGGAGGAAGGGUUGUAGAUUGAUACUCUGCAAUCUUGACGUUACCGACAGAAUAAGCACCGGCUAACUCUGUGCCAGCAGCCGCGGUAAUACAGAGGGUGCAAGCGUUAAUCGGAAUUACUGGGCGUAAAGCGCGCGUAGGUGGUUUGUUAAGUUGGAUGUGAAAUCCCCGGGCUCAACCUGGGAACUGCAUUCAAAACUGACUGACUAGAGUAUGGUAGAGGGUGGUGGAAUUUCCUGUGUAGCGGUGAAAUGCGUAGAUAUAGGAAGGAACACCAGUGGCGAAGGCGACCACCUGGACUAAUACUGACACUGAGGUGCGAAAGCGUGGGGAGCAAAC
rnacentral:rRNA from 1 species